GCCUUCGUGGUGUAAUGGUCAGCACACUCGGCUCGUAUUCCAGAGGUUCAAGUCCCGGCGAGGGCA
rnacentral:tRNA from 1 species